CCUAUGGGAGGCAGCAGUGGGGAAUAUUGCACAAUGGGGGAAACCCUGAUGCAGCGACGCCGCGUGAGCGAUGAAGUAUUUCGGUAUGUAAAGCUCUAUCAGCAGGGAAGAAAAUGACGGUACCUGACUAAGAAGCCCCGGCUAACUACGUGCCAGCAGCCGCGGUAAUACGUCGGGGGCAAGCGUUAUCCGGAUUUACUGGGGGUGAAGGGAGCGUCGACGGCGGUGCAAGCCAGAUGUGAAAGCCCGGGGCUCAACCCCGGGACUGCAUGUGGAACUGUGUGGCUGGAGUGUCGGAGAGGCAGGCGGAAUUCCUAGUGUAGCGGUGAAAUGCGGAGAUAUUAGGAGGAACACCAGUGGCGAAGGCGGCCUGCUGGACGAUGACUGACGUUGAGGCUCGAAAGCGUGGGGAGCAAACAGGAGUAGAUACCCUGGUAGUC
rnacentral:rRNA from 1 species